rnacentral:rRNA from 1 species
CAGUCGCCGCGGGAAUACGAAGGGUGCAAGCGUUACUCGGAAUUACUGGGCGUAAAGCGUGCGUAGGUGGUGGUUUAAGUCCGUUGUGAAAGCCCUGGGCUCAACCUGGGAACUGCAUUUGUGACUGGCAGGCUAGAGUAUGGCAGAGGGGGGUGGAAUUCCGCGUGUAGCAGUGAAAUGCGUAGAUAUGCGGAGGAACACCGAUGGCGAAGGCAGCCCCCUGGGCCAAUACUGACGCUCAUGCACGAAAGCGUGGGGAGCAAACAGGAUUAGAUACCCCAGUAGUCCCUGUCUCUUAUAC